rnacentral:rRNA from 1 species
GACGAACUCUGGCGGCGUGCUUAACACAUGCAAGUCGAACGGAAAGGCCCUGCUUUUGUGGGGUGCUCGAGUGGCGAACGGGUGAGUAACACGUGAGUAACCUGCCCUUGACUUUGGGAUAACCUCAGGAAACUGGGGCUAAUACCGGAUAGGAGCUCCUGCUGCAUGGUGGGGGUUGGAAAGUUUCGGCGGUUGGGGAUGGACUCGCGGCUUAUCAGCUUGUUGGUGGGGUAGUGGCUUACCAAGGCUUUGACGGGUAGCCGGCCUGAGAGGGUGACCGGCCACAUUGGGACUGAGAUACGGCCCAGACUCCUACGGGAGGCAGCAGUGGGGAAUAUUGCACAAUGGGCGGAAGCCUGAUGCAGCAACGCCGCGUGCGGGAUGACGGCCUUCGGGUUGUAAACCGCUUUCGCCUGUGACGAAGCGUGAGUGACGGUAAUGGGUAAAGAAGCACCGGCUAACUACGUGCCAGCAGCCGCGGUGAUACGUAGGGUGCGAGCGUUGUCCGGAUUUAUUGGGCGUAAAGGGCUCGUAGGUGGUUGAUUGCGUCGGAAGUGUAAUCUUGGGGCUUAACCCUGAGCGUGCUUUCGAUACGGGUUGACUUGAGGAAGGUAGGGGAGAAUGGAAUUCCUGGUGGAGCGGUGGAAUGCGCAGAUAUCAGGAGGAACACCAGUGGCGAAGGCGGUUCUCUGGGCCUUUCCUGGCGCUGAGGAGCGAAAGCGUGGGGAGCGAACAGGCUUAGAUACCCUGGUAGUCCACGCUGUAAACGGUGGGUACUAGGUGUGGGGUCCAUUCCACGGGUUCCGUGCCGUAGCUAACGCUUUAAGUACCCCGCCUGGGGAGUACGGCCGCAAGGCUAAAACUCAAAGGAAUUGACGGGGCCCCGCACAAGCGGCGGAGCAUGCGGAUUAAUUCGAUGCAACGCGUAGAACCUUACCUGGGUUUGACAUGGAUCGGGAGUGCUCAGAGAUGGGUGUGCCUCUUUUGGGGUCGGUUCACAGGUGGUGCAUGGCUGUCGUCAGCUCGUGUCGUGAGAUGUUGGGUUAAGUCCCGCAACGAGCGCAACCCUUGUUCACUGUUGCCAGCACGUUAUGGUGGGGACUCAGUGGAGACCGCCGGGGUCAACUCGGAGGAAGGUGGGGAUGACGUCAAGUCAUCAUGCCCCUUAUGUCCAGGGCUUCACGCAUGCUACAAUGGCUGGUACAGAGAGUGGCGAGCCUGUGAGGGUGAGCGAAUCUCGGAAAGCCGGUCUCAGUUCGGAUUGGGGUCUGCAACUCGACCUCAUGAAGUCGGAGUCGCUAGUAAUCGCAGAUCAGCAACGCUGCGGUGAAUACGUUCCCGGGGCU